rnacentral:lncRNA from 1 species
AUGAGCUGAGCUGAGCUCCCUAAAAGAGACAGCAGAGCUGCAGGCACAUACAUAUACAGUCAUGCAUGUUCAACGGAAGCUUCUUGCACCUGGCUAUAUUACCUCGUGAACUCUUCGUCUCCUCCUGUUGAAGUAGAACAGAGGUAGAAGAUGUAUAACCCUCCGGCGAGGAAGGAGAUGUCCUACUAGGCUACUACGGGCACAUCCAGAAGCGCCACCACGACAGAGGCUGCCUCUACGCAUGGUGACUGAAUCCUUCUCCUGUCACUCUCCUCGGACCUCUUGCUUGCUCUUGCUCAUCAUCCACCCCUCAUCUCUGGCAGCCUCUUCACCGCGUGCUGCUGCUUCUGCUGCCACGAGACCUGCGAGUGCUGCCCCGAAUGCCUCUGCUGCUGCGGCUAAUAAUCAGUUGUUCCUGACAAGCUCAUUCCUCACAGCGAGGGGAACAGCUAGUUCAGGAUGGAACCCUGUUGAACUUGGAAUGGAACUAAGAUCUGUGUUUGUUGAUUGUUGUUGUCUUGUUGCCGUGUUUUGUGUUUGUUGAUUGCUGUUGACUUGUUGCACACAUGUGAUGUGCCAGAUGUGCUUUAAGGUUCAAAAGUGAAGGUGGGUGUGUAGAGAUAUACUGUGUUAUUUUUCUGAUCUUCAGUGCUCACAUGUAUCAGUAUUAUUCCCAUAAUGCACCCUUUGUGAUUAUUUACAUGUUUGAAUAGUUUUUUUCCCCUUAAUUAGAUGGGGCCAUCAGGUUCCAG